rnacentral:rRNA from 1 species
AUUGAACGCUGGCGGCGUGCUUAACACAUGCAAGUCGAACGGUGAACGAGGGAGCUUGCUCCCUCCGGAUCAGUGGCGAACGGGUGAGUAACACGUGAGCAAUCUGCCCCGAACUCUGGGAUAAGCGCUGGAAACGGCGUCUAAUACCGGAUACGACGCGCGAAGGCAUCUUCUGCGCGUGGAAAGAAUUUCGGUUCGGGAUGAGCUCGCGGCCUAUCAGCUAGUUGGUGAGGUAACGGCUCACCAAGGCGACGACGGGUAGCCGGCCUGAGAGGGUGACCGGCCACACUGGGACUGAGACACGGCCCAGACUCCUACGGGAGGCAGCAGUGGGGAAUAUUGCACAAUGGGCGCAAGCCUGAUGCAGCAACGCCGCGUGAGGGACGACGGCCUUCGGGUUGUAAACCUCUUUUAGUAGGGAAGAAGCGAAAGUGACGGUACCUGCAGAAAAAGCACCGGCUAACUACGUGCCAGCCGCCGCUGUAACAC